AAUGAACGUUGGCGGCGUGGAUUAGGCAUGCAAGUCGCGCGACAAGGAACCUUCGGGUUCUGGAGGAGCGGCAAACGGGGUAGUAAGGCAUCGGAACGUACCCUCUUGUUGGGAAUAGCCGCGGGAAACUGCGAGUAAUGCCCAAUAAUCCCUACGGGGCAAAGGUCCGCCGCAGGAGGAGCGGCCGAUGUGAUACCAGCUAGUUGGUGAGGUAAUGGCUCACCAAGGCUUAGACGUCUAGGGGGUGUGAGAGCAUGGCCCCCACCACUGGGACGUGAGAUACUGCCCACGACACCUACGGGUGGCUGCAGUCGAGAAUCUUCGGCAAUGGGCGGCAAGCCUGACCGACGCAACGCCGCGUGCGGGA
rnacentral:rRNA from 1 species